ACCCCUAACCCUAUGCAGUAUUU
rnacentral:miRNA from 1 species